CAUUUAUUUAUGCUCUGAUUUUUAUUAUUUCCUUCCUUCUCCUGACUUUGGGCUUUGUUUGUUCUUUUUCUAGGUCUUCCAGGUAUAGAGAAGCUGGUUUAUUUGAGACCCCACUGGCUUUCUGUUGGCUCCCAUAGGCGUGGGUGCUGCUGCCCCAUCAUGACCGAUGAUGCUUGUCCUGGGUUGUCUGAAGAGCCUUCUCCUGUCACCUCUUUGCGUACUCAAGACCUCAUAUUCAGCCAGAGAUGAAGAGAUGGCUAGGGUUCUCACAACUUUAUGCAUAAACCCAACCUUCCAGACCACCAUGAAUAUGUCAAAUCUUAUUAAGAGCUUCUCUGGCUUUCUCAUUUCCAGAAUUGUCUUGAUUAACCUGUGGUUAGUCUGAUGAUAUUGCACCCUCAGACCGUCUGCGUUAGCUAUCCAACCCCAGUUGUUUGCACUGAGGUUCAUAUUCCUUUUGCACAACACCUCCAGGCAUGGGGUUUUUCUCUACUCCAUUCUAACUCAUGGCAGUCUCCUAGAGUUCAAAGGUGCUGGUUUUCAUAGCUUGUUCAGCUCUGGUAAAACAAAGCCAAAGGGAGAUGGGAGCAUCCCUAGGCUAAAACUCUGGACACUCCCAUCGUCCCUGCCUGGAGUUCAGUAGUUUUGCUUGAAUAAAUGCUUCUUGAUUCAUUUAUGUGUUUGCUCAAUUUUCAUAGUGUGAAAGUAAUUGUUUUAAUAAUUUUAUGCAGUUUCAUCAUUGCUUUUUGGGGAAAAUUGCCAAGUUCCUCAUUACACCAUUCUGAGGGUCCCACUCAGUUAUCUUUUUACUAAUUUAAAAAAUAAGAAAAAAAUAUACUUACACACAUUUUUAUCAUGUUGAGAACAUUUUAUGAGAGUACAGAAUGGGUAAACUGGGUGUCCAGGAAUUCCUCUGCUCAGAGACUCCAGCAAGUCUUCCCAGUGGCUCAUCUGAGGGCACAAAUGGUUUCACAGACCAGGGCAAAAAAUGACGCUAUUUUAAAACAAAAUUUCACAUCAGUCCUUGAUUGUGAUACCUUUUCAUCUGAAAACCGAAUUUUCUCCCCUUCACAAAUUAUAACAAUGAAUAAUACCACUUAUUAGUCAUUCAUUUUUUCCCUUAACCUCUUUCUUUAAUACCUAUUGUGAUGUAACAUGGAAGACGUAACAUUCAAAAGGGGAUCCAGUACUUGAUUACUGCAAUGUGUGAAACGGUUUUUAACAUAUUAUACUGCAGUGAUUGUGUUUAUUGAGAAUUAUUUUAGUAACUAGAUGGGGAAGUAGCCAAUGUUCCUUUUGAGAAAUAUGCUAAAGAAAAACUAAUUUGGUUGAAAAAAUUCUAAAUAAAGAAUUUGUAUGUUGAUUGUCCAUAGGUCUACAAUAAAAAAUGUGUAAUUACUUAUUAUUUGGUAACAGUCAAGAAAAGUAAAGUUGUUUACAUUUGUAUUGCCAGAGUUAAAUGCAAAUAGACAAUUUUAACUUUAGUUAAAAAAGAAAAACUAAAACACAGAUAGCAAUGCUAAGAACACAAGAAAUUAGCAAGUGAAAGGGAUUUAAGAAGAACUGAGUUAGAGACCGAGUGAUGUUCACUCUCAAGAAGUCCACCCAUUUCAUUGAGCAAAAUGUCCUCGCCCUCUGUAAUGGGUUGAAUUGUGUCCCCCCUCCCCCCAAUAGAGGAUAUGUUGCGCUCCUAACUCCUAGCUCCUCAGAGUUGGACCUUAUUCGGAGACAUGGUCUUUGCAGAGGUUCAGUUUAAAUGAGGUCACAAGAGUGGGCCCCAAUCCAAUAUGACUGGUGUCUUUAUAAGAAGGGGAAAUUUGGAUGUGUAUGCACAUAAGGAGAGUGCCAGGUGAAGAUGUAGGCAAAGAUCAAGGGGGUGUAUCUAUAAGCCAAGGAACACCAAAGAUUGCCAGCAAACCACCAGAAACUAGGAGAAAGACCUGGAACAGGUUCUCCCUCACAGCGUCAGAAGGAACCAAAUCUGCUGAAACCGUGAUCUUGGACUUCCAGCCUCUAGUGCUGUAAGAGAAUAAAUCUGUGUUGUUGAAGCCACCCAGUUUGCGGUGCUUUGUUAUGGCGGCCUGAACAAGCGAAUACAAGCUCAUUCUCUCACUCAUACAGUGGGGGUUAAAAAUAAAAAACAACCCCAGCAGAGUAAACAGCAGCAGCAGCAGCCUCCUGAAGGUUUACAGCAUAGAGAGAUGGUGGAAGAAUGAGUGCCUAGGCUCUCUUCUUCUGGAAACAACCCCAUUCUUCUUCAGAGAGCUGCUCCUACCACUGAUGAAGAGCCACAGCCCUGUGGUUUCAGUAAAAGCUGCCAAUCACUUUCCGUCUCAUCUCCAGGUGACAGAUGAUCUACAUCUUGCUUUGCCAUCCAAUUAGAGCUUGGAAAAGGGAUUGAGUUCCUCCCUAGAGGAGACAUCAGAGUCUAGGGCUGUUGGCUGCCAUGUCUUCCUUACUGUGAAAGAAGCUGAUCUGUCACGUGAAGGAACAGAGUCAACAUACAGAAGGAAGCGGACUUGAGUGGGAGACAAGGAGAGAAGCUGAUGUGGUUGCCCCAAAAGAAAUCCUCUCCACUGGAGCUGGUGCCUGUCACCACAGCCCAUCACUUGCCUGGUGGGCUUUCUCAUUGCAGCAAUAGAUAUAAAAUACUCCUGACUGGCUGUGUUUAUGGGGCCUUUUCAUCCUCCUGUUGGUUUCAAACACAAAGAAAAAUGGUCUCUCUCCACCGUGCCUGGUUUGAACAGCAGGUAAACUCCAGCAGCCUCCUCUCCAGCCUCUGAUGGAAAAUUAUUACAGAUGAAAUGUUUCCAUCAUGGAAAUGGUCACUUACAGAGCCCCCAGUGAACUGGAACUGCCGAACGGUGAUGAGCUUCAGAUCUUACCUGUACUUCCAUCUCUGACAGAACUGUUUUCCAUUUUCUUUUCGUUUUUUUUAAACCAAAGAGUUUACAGGAACAAAUCCCCCUUAUUGUCUCAAAACUAAGAAGCUCAGUGGACUUGUCACAGAAGGUGAGGAGCAAAAAGAGGUAAUUGGCUAAAAUUCUGAAAAGAGGGACAAAAGGAGAAUAAAAGAAAACAGGAGAAGUUCCCCUCUGACCAGGAGAGACCUGUGUUCACGAACUGGGCUCCAUUAUGCACAGCAUCUUCUGUCUGCCAUAUGAAUGGAGAAUAGAAAGUGUUGGGAGAGAGAGAGAGGUGGGGCAGGUCAUUAGUGGAGAAAACAGACUAGUGGAAGAGUGAGCAGAGUGGAAACUAGAUGAAUGAACCCAUGGUUCGAGGGAAGAAGAUUCUGUCCAGCUUCCUCAGGGCACACCACACCCCUCUCCAGGCCAAGCAGUACCUUUGCGCUGGAUUAGGACUGAGAGAGGCUCAAUCGAGCAAAUGCUGCUCUAUCUACACACAGAAAUCCCUUUGUGAUAAAUAAUCAACCUCAGUUGUUCUUUUAUAAUGGGUCAUUAGUAACUCCGGCAAAAAAGUGUUAAGACACCAGUUCUUGCUGCUGAGUCAAGAUCCUCAGGUUUACAGAAGGUUCACUAUUUCUCCCAUGCUGAAUCAUCCCACCACUUUAGCAUGCUUCUUCUUGUUCCUAGUUACUACCCCACACUCAAUGAAAAGAAUCUUUAUUACCCAAAAUCCUUAUUCCUAAGUAUCUGAACCUGUUUGUAGAUAAUCUAUGGCUAUUGAGAUUGUGGAGUAAACUCAAACAGAAAUGUUCCUGUCACUAUAUUUGCAAACCAAAUUGGAAAAAAACCUUAUCUAAUUCAGUCAAACAAUUUACCUUCAAAGCAGACAGUUUAAUCCAGUCCCUCUCCCCAAAGGCCACAGUCCUGUGGCUAUUAUCGCUUGUUCCUGCUUUAUUUGGAAGACUAGCUACUCCCUUCACUCAUCACCCUCCUCCAGUCCCUAGGGCUUUGCUCUGGGAAACAAGCAUUGAUGACACCGUGCUUAAGAAUUCCUGUGUCUGAGGGCAAAGGAAACAGAGGUGGUGUAUGUGUGUGCCUGUUUGUGUGUGUGUGUGUGUGUGUGUGUGUGUUUGAAUCAAAGGUUUCCUCCAGAAGACCUGGAAGAGUGAUGAGGACCACUCUCACUUCAGACUGCCAUAGAGACCUCAAAGAUCAGCCUUAAAUGGCAAAGCACCAGCUAGAUCUCUCAGGGGAAGGAGGCUCCCUCAGCCAUCACCGCAGACCCCAGUCCCAACUAGAAGAUAACUGCUUUAGCAAAGGACACGGGUGUUCUUCAAGUUUCUUUCUUGGGGAAAUGCUUGGGAGGGUUACAAAGAUUUGAACUUCUUUGCAAAAAGUUUUCUUUUGCCUUUGGGAAAAGCCAGACUUAGCCUGCCAUGUUUUCUCCUACAUUAAGUUCCCUUAGUCACCUUGUGAACCUACAGUAAUCUAUGGCCCCAAAAGCUGCCUUACACAAUCUCCAUAAUUGUAUGUGGAGCCCUUUGGGGGGUUUCAGGAGAUGAGCUGCAGCAAAGGCAGUGGUGGCCUUUGACUUAGGGGUUUGGGGAGGAACAUGACCACUAAGGAGAAAACUCAGGAGCUGACAUGAGACAAGCUACUCCUUCCAAGAACCAGAUGCUAAUUUAGUGGUGAUGGGGUGAUAAGGUAGAAAAUUGAGGUGUAGGGUAACAGCCCUAUUUAUAUACCCGUCUCCUUCCACUGGACUGUCAGCUCCUGAAGAACCAGUGCUGUGGCUUGUUCAUCAUAGUAGCUGAGUGUCUGGCCCAGAGUAUGGACUCAGGAAGUCUUUACUGCCUAAACUAUGAAUUUUAUUGAAAUGUGAUAAUUUAAACAUAUUUCCAAGUAGUUAAAAGUCUGGAACAGAAGGCAAUGCUUUUUCUGGAUCAAUCCCUAUAGAUAGUACUGUAUGGAAUGACUCAAAGGACAUCGACAGUGUGUUUUCCAUUCUCUUCUCUCCCCCUCCCCCAACAGCCCUUAAAAAUGUUCCUGUUCAGUUGUCUAGAUCUAGAUCUGGAUCAUCUGCAUCCAGACCUAGACAGACACACUCACACUCAUUAUAUGUUAGGGGUCUAAUUCAGGCCAUCUGCUCUUUCAUAAAAAGUGACAGCUUUUAGAUUCCUUUAAUGUUUCUACUUAUAAAAGAUCAUAGAUCUGUAUAAUAAUUAGUCUUUUCCUACUAAUUGGUGACAACUUGAAUCCCCGUUUAUCUGAGCAUCAGAAUGUUUUAAAUAUUAACUGAGCUUCACGACCUCUCAGUGUGCUUUGUGCCGUGUGUCUGUGGUAGAGAUGGGUCAACUGGUCCACUGAAGCACCGCCCGCUCCGGGGCUUGUGGGGGAUCUCAGGGCCCGUCACCGACAGCAUCACACACAGGCCACGGGCAGCCCAGACCCAAAGCCAUGUGAAAGUGGCCGUCCCUGCACUGUAGAAUACUGCUGUACGUAAGACCUGGCUUUUCUCCAAACCCUGUGCCUAUCCCAUUUGAUUUCUAAAAGUCAAGUCAGUCAAACAACUCAUUUCACAUUUCACUGGUGUGAUCAGUCAACAGAAAGAAAGGACUCUAAUCAAGUAUGUGCACCAAUUACUUCAGCAAAAGCGUGUUUUAAAGGGAUUCAUACCAUGUGCUUGAUUUAAAUGUUAAAUGACCUAAGCACCGUUCGGGGGAAAUUUAUCAAUACUUUAGCUAUGUCUGUGCUUAUACGAGUUGAUAUUUUUGUAAUAAAGUGCACCCAUUUGUUUACUAUAUAGAUUUAU